rnacentral:rRNA from 1 species
GAGCUUGCUCCCUGAUGUUAGCGGCGGACGGGUGAGUAACACGUGGGUAACCUGCCUGUAAGACUGGGAUAACUCCGGGAAACCGGGGCUAAUACCGGAUGCUUGUUUGAACCGCAUGGUUCAAACAUAAAAGGUGGCUUCGGCUACCACUUACAGAUGGACCCGCGGCGCAUUAGCUAGUUGGUGAGGUAAUGGCUCACCAAGGCAACGAUGCGUAGCCGACCUGAGAGGGUGAUCGGCCACACUGGGACUGAGACACGGCCCAGACUCCUACGGGAGGCAGCAGUAGGGAAUCUUCCGCAAUGGACGAAAGUCUGACGGAGCAACGCCGCGUGAGUGAUGAAGGUUUUCGGAUCGUAAAGCUCUGUUGUUAGGGAAGAACAAGUACCGUUCGAAUAGGGCGGUACCUUGACGGUACCUAACCAGAAAGCCACGGCUAACUACGUGCCAGCAGCCGCGGUAAUACGUAGGUGGCAAGCGUUGUCCGGAAUUAUUGGGCGUAAAGGGCUCGCAGGCGGUUUCUUAAGUCUGAUGUGAAAGCCCCCGGCUCAACCGGGGAGGGUCAUUGGAAACUGGGGAACUUGAGUGCAGAAGAGGAGAGUGGAAUUCCACGUGUAGCGGUGAAAUGCGUAGAGAUGUGGAGGAACACCAGUGGCGAAGGCGACUCUCUGGUCUGUAACUGACGCUGAGGAGCGAAAGCGUGGGGAGCGAACAGGAUUAGAUACCCUGGUAGUCCACGCCGUAAACGAUGAGUGCUAAGUGUUAGGGGGUUUCCGCCCCUUAGUGCUGCAGCUAACGCAUUAAGCACUCCGCCUGGGGAGUACGGUCGCAAGACUGAAACUCAAAGGAAUUGACGGGGGCCCGCACAAGCGGUGGAGC